rnacentral:rRNA from 1 species
UGCGUAGGCGGCGCGGUAAGUCGGGUGUGAAAUCUCGGAGCUUAACUCCGAAACUGCAUUCGAUACUGCCGUGCUUGAGGACUGGAGAGGAGACUGGAAUUUACGGUGUAGCGGUGAAAUGCGUAGAUAUCGUAAGGAAGACCAGUGGCGAAGGCGGGUCUCUGGACAGUUCCUGACGCUGAGGCACGAAGGUCAGGGAGCAAACG